UACGUAGGUGGCAAGCGUUAUCCGGAUUUACUGGGUGUAAAGGGCGUGUAGGCGGGAGAGCAAGUCAGACGUGAAAUUCCAGGGCUCAACCCUGGAACUGCGUUUGAAACUGUUCUUCUUGAGUGAUGGAGAGGCAGGCGGAAUGCCGUGUGUAGCGGUGAAAUGCGUAGAUAUCACGAAGAACUCCGAUUGCGAAGGCAGCUUACCGGUCUGCGACUGACGCUGAGGCACGAAAGUGUGGGUAUCGAACAGG
rnacentral:rRNA from 1 species